rnacentral:lncRNA from 1 species
AUGUCUAUCGGUCAUCAGAUCCUGCACUCUGUCAUCAAUGAUUCUCUACGUCUGCUGCAGAGGGGAGACGUGGAGGAUAGGAGCGACUUCAUCCUGAAGCUGGCCCAGCUGAGGGAGCACUGGCAGGGGGCUGUUCAGAGGGCAGCUCAGAGGAGCUCCCUGGUGGAGGGGCUAGUCAAACACUGGCACCUCUACAGCCGCAGCCUCAGGAAGCUCCAGAGGUUCAUAGCAGAUGCCCAGGCCCUCCUGCCCCCCACAGGGCCAGCCCACUGCAGCCUGCAGCAGCUCCGAAGCUCCCUCUACGACAUAAAGGUAAGAGGUUAGAGAUUGAUACAGCCAAGGGGAAGGGCAAGGGUUCAUAAAUGACAGUGCACUCCUUCUGUCUUCUGUGGACUGUAGCACACGGAGCUGCUUUUCCAGAGGUACCAGUGCAGCUACAUCCACACUCUGGAGAUGGGCCGUCAGCUCUUCUCCAUGGGGGACGAACAGACUCAGGCACAGCUGCAGACCGAGCUGGCUACCCUGCAGGAGGACUGGGAGAACCUGCAAGGACUGCUGGAAAAGAGAAAGGACAUAACAAACGCUAUCAUUCAGGUGCUCCUCUUGCCCCUCAGUCAGUGGGAGACAGCAGCUUGGGGAAGAUCAAUCAGCUGACCUAUAGGAAGAUCAUUAUCUGUUGAUCACAGUUUUGUGAAAUAACAUGUUUUAAGUGUAUUUGAUUAUAAAAUUAUUGAUUGAAAUGAUAGGUCAGAGUUAAGAGGAUACCUUCGAAUUGAAUAGAAUUGAGUAAAGUUCUGUCAGAGGCAUAGGUUUACAAUAUAACGAAAGAUCUUAGCUUUGCCUUGAAAUGUCUGAUGUAAAACAGGCAUUCUCUACAGUCAGAGGUCUACUUUUAGAAAUGCCUUAUUAUAUUUCACCUCCUGCCCCCUUACUGUGGUUACAUUUCACCUUAAAUGCCCAUUCUAGCCCUACUGUUACAUGCAGUCCAUUUCCUCCCUCAUUGGGCUCAAAGCAGUUUUGGGCCUGAAACACACAGAUCAG